AGGGGAUGCUGGUGGAGGAGGGAGCGAGCGAGCGAGCGUGGCGGGGGUUGUGAGGGGACGCGCGGCGCGGAGGCGGAUCGCCGGGGUCGCUGAGGCUUGGCUCGUGAGGGGACCGGGAAGGGGGAAGUCUGACGCAGGUCUCUUCGAAGUACCAGAGAACCAGCGCACGAACUUUUUCUAGGCCUGAUAAAAUGUUUUGACCCCCCCACACACAAAGGGAAAAUCAAUUCCAAGUCGAAAUUAUAAGUGUAUGAAAAUGAAACCUAUCCACUGGAACGUUCAACAUUUAAAGAUGAAAAAAGUUGAUCUUUGUUUAAGCUCUGAAGGGACUGAAGUGAUUUUAGCUACAUCAAGUGAUGAAAAACACCCACCUGAAAAUAUCAUUGAUGGAAAUCCAGAAACAUUUUGGACCACCACAGGGAUGUUUCCCCAAGAGUUCAUUAUUUGUUUUCACAAACACGUAAGGAUUGAAAGGCUUGUAAUCCAGAGUUACUUUGUGCAGACCUUGAGGAUUGAAAAGAGCACUUCUAAAGAUCCGGUGGAUUUUGAGCAGUGGAUUGAAAGAGAUCUAGUACACACAGAGGGGCAGCUUCAAAAUGAAGAAAUUAUGGAAAUUCAAGGGAGAGAGGAACAAGUAAAAUGACACCACAAGGAAGCAAAUAGACUUGUAGCCAUUAAUGCUGCUCAACUGAGAUGCCCAGAUCUCUGCCCUCCUGCCCAUGCUUUUACUGAGCUCUGACUCUGGGACAUGGACUCUGGCAGGCGCUGAGUGACAGGUGAUCAAAACAGCCUCGAUCAUCUUACGGGAAGGUGGGUGAGUAAACAAUGCUCGUUCCGCUCAGCCACAUAAGCCUCCUUGCCUUCAAUCUCUGGGUUUAAGACUUGGGCCAAACUCAUGGGUUCAGUCCCCAUGAAAAUCAGGGAGACAGAGAUGUGUCUGACCAUCUUGCAAAGUCCAAGGUGCUUAGACCAAGCCAUAGGUGUUUCAGGGAAGGACAUGACUGCCCAGCGUAAGGAUUUUCUCACAAUUAGAGCUGUGCAGCAGAGGAACGGGAUUCCCAUGAAGUGAUGGAGAUGAGUUAUCGCCUCUUAGGAGCCAAAGGGAUCCCAGCCCCAGGUGAAAGCUGGCCCAGAGCAGUGGUUCUCAGUGUGGCCCCCAGUCUACAGCUUCAGGACCACCGGGAGCUGGUUAGAAAUGCAAAUUCCCAGGCCCCACCCCAAGAUCUAACUCAAACUCUGAGGUGGGGUCCAGCAGGCCAUUUUAACAAGCCCUCUGGGUGCUUCUGGUGCCCACCAAAGCCUGGGAACCGCUGAGGGAGAUGCAGCACAAUGUUCCUUUGAGCCUGGGACAGUCUUAGGAUGGAUUUUACAAAUAGAUAUAGAGCUGCCAUUUUCACUUGUGACCUUUCAGGUCUAAAGUCUUUGUAAUUGUACUCAUAUUAGCUCCUCGCCCUGGAUUUCCCUAUAGAUCCAUUCAGAAUGUUGGAUACUCUCCAUGCUAGACCUGUCACCCCAGGUUUUCUGCUCUGUGUGCCUUGUUGAGAACACAGACUGUGAGUUAGCGGGUGGUGGGUAAGCCUAGCAGGACCUGGGAGAUGGUGGGUUCUCAGUGAAUAGCGCUGUCUUCCUCUCUCCUCCUGUCCUUCCCCCCACCCCCAAACUUGAGCAAAGAGGAGAGAGAGGGAGGGAAGUGAUAGAGGCAGGGGAUCUUUUUUCUUACCUGAUGCAUGU